rnacentral:SRP_RNA from 1 species
CGGCGGGUAGGGCCGGGGGGCUAGCCCUCCCCUACAACCUGAAAUGGGCUAUACGCAGGGGCCAGUAACCCUCAAGGAAGGCGAUGACGCAGGCCGGCAAGCAACUAGGACCGAAAGAUGACCCAGCACCUGGACGGAGCUAGGUAGCGUGUCAAGCCUCUCGUAGGAGAGGCCUCUGGCACGCGCACAGGUCGAACCGUGUCAGGCCCGGGAGGGAGCAGCACUAAGACCUGGCCUAACUGCUGUCCACAAGUGUUGGUGAUGGACGCCUAGUUGCGAUGCCGGCGAGCGUCACGCCAACCUUGGGGAGCCGCCG